UACGAUGAAGAGUUUGAUCCUGGCUCAGGAUGAACGCUAGCGGCAGGCCUAACACAUGCAAGUCGAGGGGUAUAAUUAGCUUGCUAAUUAGAGACCGGCGCACGGGUGAGUAACGCGUAUGCAACCUACCUAUUACAGGGGAAUAGCCAGAAGAAAUUCUGAUUAAUGCUCCAUGGUUUACUUGAAUGGCAUCAUUUGAUUAAUAAAGAUUUAUCGGUAAUAGAUGGGCAUGCGUGUCAUUAGCUAGUUGGUAUGGUAACGGCAUACCAAGGCAACGAUGACUAGGGGUCCUGAGAGGGAGGUCCCCCACACUGGUACUGAGACACGGACCAGACUCCUACGGGAGGCAGCAGUGAGGAAUAUUGGUCAAUGGAGGCAACUCUGAACCAGCCAUGCCGCGUGCAGGAUGACGGUCCUAUGGAUUGUAAACUGCUUUUGUACAGGAAGAAAUGUUACUACGUGUAGUAAUUUGACGGUACUGUAAGAAUAAGGAUCGGCUAACUCCGUGCCAGCAGCCGCGGUAAUACGGAGGAUCCGAGCGUUAUCCGGAAUUAUUGGGUUUAAAGGGUUCGUAGGCGGUUGGAUAAGUCAGUGGUGAAAUCUCAUAGCUUAACUAUGAAACUGCCGUUGAUACUGUCUGACUUGAAUAGUAUGGAAGUAACUAGAAUAUGUAGUGUAGCGGUGAAAUGCUUAGAUAUUACAUGGAAUACCAAUUGCGAAGGCAGGUUACUACGUACUUAUUGACGCUGAUGAACGAAAGCGUGGGUAGCGAACAGGAUUAGAUACCCUGGUAGUCCACGCCGUAAACGAUGGAUACUAGCUGUUCGGACUUCGGUUUGAGUGGCUAAGCGAAAGUGAUAAGUAUCCCACCUGGGGAGUACGUUCGCAAGAAUGAAACUCAAAGGAAUUGACGGGGGCCCGCACAAGCGGUGGAGCAUGUGGUUUAAUUCGAUGAUACGCGAGGAACCUUACCAGGGCUUAAAUGUAGAUUGACAGGUUUGGAAACAGACUUUUCUUCGGACAAUUUACAAGGUGCUGCAUGGUUGUCGUCAGCUCGUGCCGUGAGGUGUCAGGUUAAGUCCUAUAACGAGCGCAACCCCUAUUGUUAGUUACCAGCGCGUUAAGGCGGGGACUCUAGCAAGACUGCCGGUGCAAACCGUGAGGAAGGUGGGGAUGACGUCAAAUCAUCACGGCCCUUACGUCCUGGGCUACACACGUGCUACAAUGGCAAGUACAGAAAGCAGCUACCUGGCAACAGGAUGCGAAUCUCCAAAGCUUGUCUCAGUUCGGAUUGGAGUCUGCAACUCGACUCUAUGAAGCUGGAAUCGCUAGUAAUCGGAUAUCAGCCAUGAUCCGGUGAAUACGUUCCCGGGCCUUGUACACACCGCCCGUCAAGCCAUGGAAGCUGGGGGUACCUGAAGUCGGUGACCGCAAGGAGCUGCCUAGGGUAAAACUAGUGACUGGGGCUAAGUCGUAACAAGGUAGCCGUACCGGAAGGUGCGGCUGGAACACCUCCUUUCUAGA
rnacentral:rRNA from 1 species